ACGAACGCUGGCGGCGUGCCUAAUACAUGCAAGUCGAGCGAAGUUUUUCUGGUGCUUGCACCGGAAAAACUUAGCGGCGAACGGGUGAGUAACACGUAAAGAACCUGCCUCAUAGACUGGGACAACUAUUGGAAACGAUAGCUAAUACCGGAUAAUAGCAUUAACUGCAUGGUUGAUGUUUAAAAGUUGGUUUUGCUAACACUAUGAGAUGGCUUUGCGGUGCAUUAGCUAGUUGGUGGGGUAAAGGCCUACCAAGGCGACGAUGCAUAGCCGACCUGAGAGGGUGAUCGGCCACACUGGGACUGAGACACGGCCCAGACUCCUACGGGAGGCAGCAGUAGGGAAUCUUCCGCAAUGGGCGAAAGCCUGACGGAGCAACGCCGCGUGAGUGAAGAAGGAUUUCGGUUCAUAAAGCUCUGUUGUUAGGGAAGAAUGAUUGUGUAGUAACUAUACACAGUAGAGACGGUACCUAACCAGAAAGCCACGGCUAACUACGU
rnacentral:rRNA from 1 species